rnacentral:rRNA from 1 species
AAUGGCCUAGCGGCUGAACCAGUAACUUGGACGAAUGAAAAGUUCAGAAAUGAACAAUGAGUAAUCAUAUAAAAUUCUGGACGUAGAGGAAUUAUGACUAUCUAUGUUCAUAAGUAUUGACCAAAUUACGUGCCAGCAGUCGCGGUAAUACGUAGAAUACAAGUGUUAUUCAUGUUUAGUCGGUUUAAAGGGUACCUAGACGGGAAAUCAAGCUAAAUAUAACUAGGACUAGUUUCCUUGAGUUUUAUGUGGGAGGAAAGAAUUAUUAGAAGAGAGAUGAAAUUCAAUGAUACUAAUAAGACUGGUGACGGCGAAGGCAUUUCUCUAUGUAAAAACUGACGUUGAGGGACGAAGCCUGGGGUAACGAGAAGGAUUAGAUACCCUAAUAGUCCCAGGAGACAAUUAUGAAUGUCAUAGGCUCGUUAAGUUAGCCUAUAAAUGAAAGUGUAAGCAUUCCACCUUAAGAGUACAGCGGCAACGCCGAAAUUGAAAUCAUUAGACCGUUAUUGAAAACAGUAGUGAAGUAUGUUAUUUAAUUCGAUGAUCCGCGAAUAACCUUACCACAAUUUGAAUAAUAUGAAAAUAUUACAAGUGCUGCACGGCUGUCUUCAGUUAAUGUCGUGAGAUUCUGGUUAGAUCCAUUAAUUAGCGUAAACCCUUACUAUAUUUGUUUAUUUUUAUAUAUAUAUAGUAGUUCGCCGUUAUAUUGGUAUGAUAAUAGGGAUUAAGACAAGUCAUCAUGGCCUAAAUAUUGUGGGCUAUAGACGUGCCACAUUUACCUUAACAAAAGGAAGCGAUAUUGUGAAAUGGAGCUAAUCCUUAAAAUUGGAUAUAACUAUACGU